ACGCUAUUAGCUCAAAUGGUAGAGCAAUGUAUAGUGGUGUACAUGGUGUGGGUUCAAGCCCCGCAUAGCCUA
rnacentral:tRNA from 1 species